rnacentral:lncRNA from 1 species
AUGGCCCUUCCAAAGAUAUCAUAUCUUAAUCCCUAGAACCUGUAAAAUGCUGCCUUCUUUGGGAAAAGGGUCUUCGCAGAUGUGAUUAAGACUAUUUUGAUGGGGGGGGGGCGGUUAGCCUGGAUUAUCCAGGUCCCUAAAUGCAAUCACGUGUAUCUUUACAAGAGGGAGGCAGAAGAAUGAACAAACUGAGAAAGCAGUCUGAAGAUGGAACAGAGAGACAUUUGUAGAUGUUGACCUUGGAGAUUGCAGUCAUGUCCCUCCCUGCAAGGCGAGGGAUGCCUGCAGUUAUCGGAAGCUGGAAGAGGUAAGGAGUGGGCUUUUCCCUAGAGUCUCCAGACUGAGUGCAGCCCUUGAUUUCAGCCCAGGGAAACUGAUCUGGGGCAUCUGGCUUCCAGAACUGUUAAGAGAAUAAAUUUCUGUUGAUGAAGUCACCCGGUUACAGUAGUUAACACAGCAGCCCUAGGAAACUAAUACAUCAUUGUUUAUUUGCUUGCUUUCUCCCUUCUGCAGUUUUCCAGGUUUGAUUUGGGGACUGGGAGACAGCAGCCUAAACUUGAUCAUCCUUUUGGCAAUUACAGGAUGCUGGAAUCGCUCCUUGAGAAGGCUGGACUUUUACAAAGGCUCUGUCAUCCAUGGAUGUCUGCCCAGGAACCAGAAUUAGGUCUAACCAUAGAAGGGAAUCUUCCUUGAAUUCGAUACUUCUUACAGGAUGCUGCUCUUACAAGCAUAAGUGGAUGUCUUUCGCUAUACACACCUCAGGACAUGAAUGGAUCGAUGGACAGAGUUAA